rnacentral:lncRNA from 1 species
CUCAGAGGCAAGGCAGCUGGGAGAAGGAGGAGGGAGAUGGAUGGGUCAGGCCACCUCAGGGCCUGACCUCAGGGCCUGGGCUCCCCCAGGCAGCUCCCCAGUGGUAGGGAAGUCUUGGACAGGAGUAGCAUCUGGGAAGGAGCCUCCCAAGUUAUUGGAUUUAUGAAUGAAGAAGCGACAAAAUCACUUGGAUUGGAGAAGUGGAAGUUGAAGCGCUUCCCACCUGCGGGGAUCACCAGGAGAACAGAAGUCUGGACGGCUUACCUGUUAUAUUUGGCUCAAGCUGGCUUAAAAAAGAAUUUAUAGAGUGUACUGCAGAAUGUCCCAGUUCUGCGACGCCAAGAAAAUUGUAAUAAGCAGAAACAGCCCCCAGGAAGACCAGAGUCUACUCGUCCUUCAGUCACUCAUUCAGCAGACCCUUGUUGAGGCUGGAAUGGGAGGGGAGCCAAGACACGGGUUUUCACGAAGAAAUCAACACCUCCAUUCUAGAAAACACAGGACUGUUUGAUUGGAAUUGUGCUGACUCUAUACAUUGGUUUUAGAAGAUCUGACAUCUUAAUAUGGUCUCCCAAUCCAUCGACAUGGCAUCUUUCUCCAUCUAUUGAGGUCUUUGGUCUCCUUCAUCACUAUUGUUUUGUUUUCAGCAUAUGGGUUUUGCAUGUAUUUUGUAAGAUUCAUACUUAAUCACUCAUGGUUUUGGUACUAUUGUAUUUAAAUGGUACCUUCAAAUAUUUUCAUUUUCAAUUGGAAGUGUCUAGAAAUACAAUCAGUUUUUGCAUAUAGACCUUCCAUCCUAGGACCUCACUAAAUUUGCAUUUUAGUUCCAGUUGUUGUUCAGUCCCUAAGCUGUGUCUGACACUUCACAACCCCAUGAACUACAGCAUACCAGGCUUCCCUGUCCUUCACUGUUUCCCGGAGUUUGCUCAAACUCAUGUCCAUUGAGUUGGUGAUGCCAUCCAACCAUCUCAUCCUCUGUCACUCCCUUCUCCUCCUGCCCUCAAUCUUCCCCAACAGUUUAGUUCUAGUAAGUUUUUCAUAGACUUUUUGGAAUUUUUUUUGGUGUAGAUAAUUAUGUAAUCUAUAAAUACAGA